rnacentral:lncRNA from 1 species
UUGAAGGUAUGGAAGCUUAAAUUACUUAUCUGAGGAAAUGGAAAAAGUCCCUAGUUUAAAGUUCAGCAAAGCAGAUAACUUGAAUUUAUUCUGUCAAAUCUAUGCUGGAGAAUAUAAAAAAAACCUGCCUAUUAUCAUUGUAUUAGCUAAGAUAUAUCUGUUCCAUCUCUACGGAAACAUCUCACGUAUCAUAAAGACAAGUUAAAGAAAUAUCAACACAUUACAAUUUCAAGUUGCAAUUUAGUUAUAUAGAUACUCUUAAAAGUUGGGAAGAAGCAGGAUACAUGCAAAGGACAGG